rnacentral:rRNA from 1 species
GAUGAACGCUGGCGGCGUGCCUAAUACAUGCAAGUCGAGCGAACAGACGAGGAGCUUGCUCCUCUGACGUUAGCGGAGGAGGGGUGUGAAACACGUGGAUAACCUACCUAUAAGACUGGGAAAACUUCGGGAAACCGGAGCUAAUACCGGAUAAUAUAUUGAACCGCAUGGUUCAAUAGUGAAAGACGGUUUUGCUGUCACUUAUAGAUGGAUACGCGCCGCAUUAGAUAGUUGGUAAGGUAACGGGUUACGAAGGGGACGAUGCGUAGCCGACCUGAGAGGGUGAUCGGCCACACUGGAACUGAGGCAGGGUCCAGACUCCUACGGUAGGCAGCAGUAGGGAAUCUUCCGCAAUGGGCGAAAGCCUGACGGAGCAACGCCGCGUGAGUGAUGAAGAUCUUCGGAGCGUAAAACUCUGUUAUUAGGGAAGAACAAAUGUGUAAGUAACUAUGCACGUAUUGACGGUACCUAAUCAGAAAGCCACGGCUAACUACGUG